rnacentral:tRNA from 1 species
CCUGGUGGCUCAGAUGGUAAAGCGUCUGCCUGCAAUGCAGGAGACCCGGGUUCGAUCCCUGGGUCAGGA